UACGAAGGGGGCUAGCGUUGCUCGGAAUCACUGGGCGUAAAGCGCACGUAGGCGGAUUGUUAAGUCAGGGGUGAAAUCCUGGAGCUCAACUCCAGAACUGCCUUUGAUACUGGCGAUCUUGAGUCCGGGAGAGGUGAGUGGAACUGCGAGUGUAGAGGUGAAAUUCGUAGAUAUUCGGAAGAACACCAGUGGCGAAGGCGACUAACUGGACAUGUAUUGACGCUGAGGUGCGAAAGCGUGGGGAGCAAACAGG
rnacentral:rRNA from 1 species